AAACUUCUUUAUCACCGAGUGCUUGCACUCACCGAUAAAGAGUUGAGUGGCGAACGGGUGAGUAACACGUGGGCAACCUGCCCAAAAGAGGGGGAUAACACUUGGAAACAGGUGCUAAUACCGCAUAACCAUAGUUACCGCAUGGUAACUAUGUAAAAGGUGGCUAUGCUACCGCUUUUGGAUGGGCCCGCGGCGCAUUAGCUAGUUGGUGAGGUAAAGGCUUACCAAGGCAAUGAUGCGUAGCCGAACUGAGAGGUUGAUCGGCCACAUUGGGACUGAGACACGGCCCAAACUCCUACGGGAGGCAGCAGUAGGGAAUCUUCCACAAUGGGCGAAAGCCUGAUGGAGCAACGCCGCGUGGGUGAAGAAGGUCUUCGGAUCGUAAAACCCUGUUGUUAGAGAAGAAAGUGCGUGAGAGU
rnacentral:rRNA from 2 species